UAGUCACGCUGUAAACGAUGUCGAUUUGGAGUUUGGGGGCAUGACCCUUUGGCUCCGGAGCUAACGCGUUAAAUCGACCGCUGGGGAGUACGGCCGCAAGGUUAAAACUCAAAUGAAUUGACGGGGGCCCGCACAAGCGGUGGAGCAUGUGGUUUAAUUCGAUGCAACGCGAAGAACCUUACCUGGUCUUGACAUCCAUAGAAUCUUUCAGAGAUGAGAGAGUGCCUUCGGGAGCUAUGAGACAGGUGCUGCAUGGCUGUCGUCAGCUCGUGUUGUGAAAUGUUGGGUUAAGUCCCGCAACGAGCGCAACCCCUAUCCUUUGUUGCCAGCACGUAAUGGUGGGAACUCAAAGGAGACUGCCGUUGAUAAAGCGGAGGAAGGUGGGGACGACGUCAAGUCAUCAUGGCCCUUACGACCAGGGCUACACACGUGCUACAAUGGCGUAUACAAAGGGAUGCGAAGGUGCGAACUGGAGCGGACCUCACAAAGUACGUCUAAGUCCGGAUUGGAGUCUGCAACUCGACUCCAUGAAGUCGGAAUCGCUAGUAAUCGUGAAUCAGAAUGUCACGGUGAAUACGUUCCCGGGCCUUGUACACACCGCCCGUCACACCAUGGGAGUGGGUUGCACCAGAAGUAGAUAGCUUAACCUUCGGGAGGGCGUUUACCACGGUGUGGUUCAUGACUGGGGUGAAGUCGUAACAAGGUAACCA
rnacentral:rRNA from 1 species